rnacentral:rRNA from 1 species
UGGGGAAUAUUGGACAAUGGGCGAAAGCCUGAUCCAGCCAUGCCGCGUGUGUGAAGAAGGUCUUCGGAUUGUAAAGCACUUUAAGUUGGGAGGAAGGGCAGUAAAUUAAUACUUUGCUGUUUUGACGUUACCGACAGAAUAAGCACCGGCUAACUCUGUGCCAGCAGCCGCGGUAAUACAGGGGGUGCAAGCGUUAAUCGGAAUUACUGGGCGUAAAGCGCGCGUAGGUGGUUCGUUAAGUUGGAUGUGAAAUCCCCGGGCUCAACCUGGGAACUGCAUUCAAAACUGACGAGCUAGAGUAUGGUAGAGGGUGGUGGAAUU